CACCUGGCCACCUCCAAGAGAAGAAAGAUCAGCUCCGAAACACAAUCGAAUUUAAGGAACUUCUCAAAUACAGCAGAAAUCUUAUUGCCAGAUGGCCCAGACCCUAAAAAGACAAAAAAACAAAUGUACAAAAAAAAAAAAAGUUACCAAACAUUCAAAUCUCA